rnacentral:rRNA from 1 species
GACGGAGGAUGCAAGUGUUAUCCGGAAUCACUGGGCGUAAAGCGUCUGUAGGUGGUUUAAAAAGUCCACUGUUAAAGAUUGAAGCUUAACUUCAAAAACUGCCGUGGAAACUUUUAAACUUGAGUAUGAUAGGGGUAGAGGGAAUUUCCAGUGGAGCGGUGAAAUGCGUAGAGAUCGGAAAGAACACCAACGGCGAAAGCACUCUGCUGGGCCGACACUGACACUGAGAGACGAAAGCUAGGGGAGCGAAUGGG